rnacentral:rRNA from 1 species
UAUCACUAAGCGGAGCAAACGGGCCCCUGCCUCGCUCCUGAGUUGUAACUUGAAGAAGGUAUCUUUGGUUUUGGCUCUUGUCUAUGUUCCUUGGAACAGGACGUCACAGAGGGUGAGAAUCCCGUGCGAUGAGAUGCCCAAUUCCAUGGAAAGUUCCUUCGACGAGUCGAGUUGUUUGGGAAUGCAGCUCUAAGUGGGUGGUAAAUUCCAUCUAAAGCUAAAUAUUGGCGAGAGACCGAUAGCGAACAAGUACUGUGAAGGAAAGAUGAAAAGAACUUUGAAAAGAGAGUGAAAAAGUACGUGAAAUUGUUGAAAGGGAAGGGCUUGAGAUCAGACUUGGAAUUUUCCAGCAAUGGAGCUUUCCGGGCCAGCAUCAGUUUGGAUGGCAGGAUAAUUGCGUAGGAAAGUGGCACCACCUCGGUGGUGUGUUAUAGCCUGCGUCGAUACUGCCUAUCUAGACUGAGGACUGCGUCUUUGACUAGGAUGCUGGCAUAAUGAUCUUAAGCC